AAUAUCUACCAGAAUCUAUAAAGAUCUAUCAGUUGUUCUACAUAUCUCUUUUUGAGUCAUACAAGAUAGUGGAUAUAUCAAAAAGAAGACAAAUAUCAUCUUGUCUUAUAGAAUCAAGAAUUUGAAGUUGAUAAAGUUUUAGAGUCAAGAUGAUACCAAAAUAGAUUAGAAUAUCUUAUAUAUUUGGAUAGAUAUAAUAUUAAUGAAUGCAUAUGAAAGCCAUCUAUAAAUCUUGCAAACAUAGUACAGUAUUGUAUUAUGUGGCGUUUGGCUUGAGAAUGCAUCGAGUACCUGGCUGUGGAAGAUAAAAGCAAAAAUUGCAACAACAAGCCCUUACAAUCCUAACCAAACCCUAAUCAAAUCCUAAAUAAAUCUUAACCAAAUCUUAGUUAAACCCUAAUCAAAUCCUUAAAAAUCCUAAAUAAACUCUAACCAAACUCUAACCAAACCCUAAACAAUCCUAAAAAAAUCUUAACCAAAUCCUAAAAAAACUCUAAACAAAUCCUAAAAAACUUUAAAAAAUCCUAAUCAAAUCAUAAUCAAAACCUAAACAACCUUAAAUAAACCCUAAUCCUAAAUCAAAUCCUAAUCAAAUCCUAAAUCCUAAAUCAAAUCCUAAUCUAAUCCUAAUCCUAAAUCAAACCUUAACCAAACCCUAAAUCCUAAACCAAACCUUAACCAAACCUUAAAUCCUAAACCAAACCUUAACCAAACCUUAAAUCCUAAACCAAAUCUUAAAUCUUAAAUCAAACUCUAACCAAAUCCUAAUCUUAAAUCAAAUCCUAACCAAACCCUAAAUCUUAAAUCCUAAACCAAAUCCUAAAUCCUAAAUCAAACCCUAACCAAAUCCUAAAACCUAAAUCAAACCCUAGUAAUUCCUACAACAAAUUUAAACCUCAAUUAUUAAUGAAUGAACUAUUGAUCUUAACUUAAAAUUUGUAAAAAUUUUAACAAUUAAGUUGAAAAAAAGCACAAAAAUAUUUGAAAAGGAUCGAAAUUACCGAAUAGACGAUAGCCUCAAAAACGUUCUUGGAUAUUGGCCGGCCUCCUUCUCUGAUCUUGAUGCCAAUCUCUCAAAGCCAAUAUCGCUUCUUUUCACCAUUCGAUUGAUCUCAAAAUUCUCAUACACAUAGGAAAACAAGUCUAAUAUCCUCUCAUACAACUUUCACUCCAAUCCAACAAGUAGAUUGCAAGCAAUCUUGAAAAUUCUUACUGGAUCUAAAAUUCUACUUUCUGAGACCUUGACCCACUUAAACCUCAAUAACCCU
rnacentral:lncRNA from 1 species